UACGUAGGGUGCAAGCGUUAAUCGGAAUUACUGGGCGUAAAGCGUGCGCAUGCGGUUUUGUAAGUCAGAUGUGAAAUCCCCGGGCUUAACCUGGGAACUGCGUUUGAAACUACAAGGCUAGAGUGUGACAGAGGGGGGUGGAAUUCCACGUGUAGCAGUGAAAUGCGUAGAGAUGUGGAGGAACACCGAUGGCGAAGGCAGCCCCCUGGGUUAACACUGACGCUCAGGCACGAAAGCGUGGGGAGCAAACAGG
rnacentral:rRNA from 1 species